rnacentral:rRNA from 1 species
AUGGCGGCGGCGGCGGCGGCGGCGGCGGAGGUGGAUGAGCCGUGCUGCAUCUCGCACGCCUUCGACCGCGCCGCGCGCCGGGACCCCGCCCGGCUCGCCGUCGUCCACGCAGGCGACGGCGGGCGCCGCUUCGCCUGCGGCGACCUCCUCUGCGCCGUCUCCUCGCUCUCCCGCCGCAUAGCCGCCGCGCUUCCUCGCCCUUCCACCGACCAUCCCGGCGACGACGAGUCCCCAGGCUGCUCGGAUCGACAGAGGGGAGGCGCCGGCGCGACACCUAGGGUGGUGGGGGUGUACGCCUCGCCGUCGGUGGAGUACGUCGCAGCCGUCCUCGCCGUGCUCAGGUGCGGGGAGGCGUUCCUGCCACUGGACCCCUCGUGGCCGGAGGACAGGGUCCGGUCAGCUGUCUCUGCCUCUAAUGCGGCGCUACUCGUAUCGGCAGGGGUUUCGCAUGAAGACGAUGUUCUUAAGGGCUGCUCUUGCCCUGUUCUGCGAUUGAACGGAGACAUCCGGCAAGGGUUAUAUGAUGGAGAGGUUGGGAUUGGUGGAGAUGAGCUUGCUUGGCCGUGCGAGCAUGAGAGGCCACGGGAGUUCUGCUAUGUGAUGUUCACGUCUGGUUCUACUGGAAGACCCAAAGGUGUUUGUGGAAUGGAGAAAGGUCUUCUGAAUCGCUUUUUGUGGAUGCAAAGAAGGAAUCCUUUGUGUUCGGAUGAUGUGUUGUUAUUUAAGACAUCUGUCAGCUUUGUUGACCAUCUUCAGGAGUUUCUUUCUGCUGUGUUGACUAGCACAACACUUGUCAUUCCCCCCAAUAAUUGGAGAGCCAAUCCAGCAUCAUUGGCCAACUUGAUUAAGGCAUAUCGUAUAUCAAGGGUGACUAUAGUUCCGUCGCUGAUGGAGAUAAUACUACCUACCCUGGAGAAAAAUAUUUCAUGUGGAUAUAACUCUCUUAAGAUCUUGGUAUUUAGUGGGGAGAUUCUGUCCUUAGUGCUGUGGAAGAGAGUUCGUGAAAUUCUGCCAGAGACUACUAUCAUAAAUUUGUAUGGAACAACAGAGGUUUCUGGUGAUUGUACAUUCUUUGAUUGCAAAGAUCUGCCUGCAAUUUUAGAGCGUGAAGAAAUAACCAGUGUACCGAUUGGAUUUCCUAUUGCUAAUUGUGAAGUUUUUCUUGUGAAGCAUGCUGGGAUUGCAGCUGAAGGUGAAAUUUGUGUUAGUGGAGCAUGUUUAUUCUAUGGUUAUUUAGCUGAGUUUCUGAGGAGUAAUCACACUGAAGGCAGUGAAAGUUCAAAAUACUACAAAACGGGUGACUAUGCUCGACGGCUGAAGGCUGGUGAACUUGUUUUCCUUGGGAGAAGGGACCGUUCUGUAAAAAAUUACGGGCAGCGUUUUUCACUAGAAGAGGUAGAAUCCACCUUAAAGGAACAUCCUGCUGUCAGUGAUGCUGCAGUUACUUUCCAAAGUAAAGGGUCUCCAGAUUAUAAGGCAUACCUGGUGUUUAAGAAUAAGGAUGAAAUUGUGAAAGAUAGCGUGCAGUAUAGAGAAGUAAAUUCUUCUCAAGAUGUCAUGGCAUCAAUUCGAAGUUGGCUCAUCAAGAAGGUUCCACCAGCUAUGAUUCCAAGCUUCUUUCUCCACGUGAAGUCCUUACCUUUGACUUCUUCAGGAAAGGUUGACUAUGUUAAGUUAUCAAGUUUGGAAUGUGCAUUGGAACCAUGUGGAAUUGAGCAAAUUAAGUCUGGAAGUGGUCCAGUUAAUCCAUAUUUACAAGUUAUUAAAAAGGCAUUUUGUGACGCCCUGCUUGUUGAUGAAGUUUCCGAGUUUGAUGAUUUUUUCACCUUGGGUGGUAACUCAAUUUCUGCCGCCCAUGCAGCCCACAAGUUGGAGAUUGACAUGAGACUGCUUUAUAUCUAUCCAACCCCUUCUAUGCUUUUGCACGCUUUAGUUGUGGAGCAUAGUAAUUUGGUUUCUCCUACUGAUGAGCCUCAGCCUAAGAAGGGCCUGAACGUAUCUACAAGCAUACAUGGACUAUUCGACCCGGUUGCUGCAAAUGUGGAUGAUAGUUAUCAUGGAGGCAAAGCACGGAUAAAUGGAAAGCGUGCACAUUAUCAAAUUGCUGGGAGUUACGGAAAUGAAACAGAUGGCCAGCUUAACAAAUAUCCAUUCUCUCCUGAUGACAGAUGCCAGGUAAACGAUCUCUACUUGGAUACAUGCUUGAAGUACAGAAACAGUGUCAUGGGGAGUCAGUGGAUCCUGAACUUUUGUUUACACAAGAAGUGGUCUAUUGGACGUUGCAACAGAUUUAUGCAUGACGAUGAAGGGAAGCUGCAACUUGAAGAUGUUUGCUCACAUGUUUCAUACAACAAAAGAGGUUAUCUUCAGGAACUUUGGAACAUUCCUUUGGAUUCAUGUGUUGAUGCCUCACCUUUGCUUGUCCUGAACAAUGGGAUGAUAAACAUAUUUAUUGGGUCCCAUUCACAUUUAUUUCUCUGCAUCGAUUGUUGCAAUGGUUCAGUGAGGUGGAGUGUCAAAUUGGAAGGACGUGUGGAGUGUUCUGCUGCUAUUACUGGUGAUUUUUCAGAGGUUGUGGUUGGAUGUUAUAAAGGGAAAAUUUACUUUCAUGAUAUGUUGACUGGUAAACUAUCUUGGACAGUUCAAACAGAUGGAGAGGUAAAAAUGCAACCAGUUGUUGACAGGACAAGGAAUUUAAUAUGGUGUGGCUCUUAUGAUCAUCAUUUAUAUGCACUAAAUUACCAAGAUCGUUGCUGCGCUUAUAAAGUAUCUUGUGGUGGAAGCAUCUAUGGUUCUCCUGCUGUGGACAUGGCACACGACAUGAUCUAUGUUGCUUGUACGAGUGGCCUUGUAACUGCAAUAUCCCUUGAGGUUCCAUCAUUCAGAAUAGUUUGGCAAUAUGAAGCUGGGGAAGCAAUUUUCAGUUCUCUUGCCAUCGAUCAUCAAAGUGGAAAUGUUGUUUGUUGCUUGGUGAACGGUCUGGUGAUCGCGUUGAACUCACAUGGCACUGUUGUCUGGAAGGCAACUGUUGGUGGUCCUAUUUUUGCUGGUGCAUGUGUGUCAUCUGCGCUUCCUUCUCAGGUGCUGAUACCUUCCCGUGAUGGAAGUUUAUACUCUUUUGAUAUUACAUCUGGUGAUCUUCUUUGGUCAUAUGACUUCGGCGACCCAAUUACUGCAUCUGCUUUUGUUGAUGAAGUGUUAGCAUCAACACCAUCUGGAACAUCAGAGAGAUUUGCUUGUAUCUGCACAAGUUCUGGGAAGGUCCGUGUCCUUGGGAUUAGAGCUGAUGCUGAGCAGGGGAAAGUUGGUUACUCUGUGCAAGAGUUUGCAGCCAUGGAUCUUCCUGGGGACAUCUUCUCAUCUCCCUUGAUGCAAGAGACUUGUUCUUUUGGUAAGAUGCACAGUACUCAGAUAUCAGACACAUCCAGUCGAACUGUCAACAAAGAUAUGCAGAAGGUACUGGUGCUUGGGUUCCAAAGGUUGGAUUUCCACGCCAUAAACCUUUGGUUAAGUGCUCGAUAUUCAGUAUCACAAUCAGAUUACAACCUUGGUGCUAUCCCGAGUGUACUGGGUUCAAAAGCGGAAGCAGAGCCAUAA